rnacentral:rRNA from 1 species
UACGGAGGGGGCUAGCGUUGUUCGGAAUUACUGGGCGUAAAGCGCACGUAGGCGGCUUUGUAAGUUAGAGGUGAAAGCCCGGGGCUCAACUCCGGAAUUGCCUUUAAGACUGCAUCGCUAGAAUUGUGGAGAGGUAAGUGGAAUUCCGAGUGUAGAGGUGAAAUUCGUAGAUAUUCGGAAGAACACCAGUGGCGAAGGCGACUUAAUGGACACAUAUUGACGCUGAGGUGCGAAAGCGUGGGGAGCAAACAGG